rnacentral:pre_miRNA from 1 species
UAUAUACUCCCUCCGUCCCAAAAUUCUUGUCUUAAAUUUGUCUAAAUACGGAUGUAUCAAGUCACGUUUUAGUAUUAGAUACAUCCGUAUCUAGACUAAUCUAAGACAAGAAUUUUGGGACGGAGGGAGUAUUAA